GACGAACGCUGGCGGCGUGCUUAACACAUGCAAGUCGAACGGAAAGGCCCUGCUUUUGUGGGGUGCUCGAGUGGCGAACGGGUGAGUAACACGUGAGUAACCUGCCCUUGACUUUGGGAUAACUUCAGGAAACUGGGGCUAAUACCGGAUAGGAGCUCCUGCUGCAUGGUGGGGGUUGGAAAGUUUCGGCGGUUGGGGAUGGACUCGCGGCUUAUCAGCUUGUUGGUGGGGUAGUGGAUUACCAAGGCUUUGACGGGUAGCCGGCCUGAGAGGGUGACCGGCCACAGUGGGACUGAGAUACGGCCCAGACUCCUACGGGAGGCAGGAGUGGGGAAUAUUGCACGAUGGGCGGAAGCCUGAUGCAGCAACGCCGCGUGCGGGAUGACGGCCUUCGGGUUGUAAACCGCUUUCGCCUGUGACGAAGCGUGAGUGACGGUAAUGGGUAAAGAAGCACCGGCUAACUACGUG
rnacentral:rRNA from 1 species